rnacentral:misc_RNA from 1 species
GGUAUAUGCACUGUCCCUUCAUCACUUUUCAACAAACUCUGCUACCUAUUACCCAAGGAAACUUGGGAGCUGGGACACUAUGCAGUUGCAGGGUUGUACUUGAGCCUAGACUAGCCUAUCGUCUGGGUUGGACUUAGAAUUGGAUUGAAAUCCACAUGAUCAAACCUAAAGAUUAAAACCAAUCAAUGGUUCAAGGAUCUGAACCAAAUCGAAACUGAAAAUA